UUUAAAAUAUAACUUAGAUGAUUAUCAGUAAAUCAAAUGAUUUAAAUAAAAAUAGAAUGUAUCUAUCCGAACCAAGAAAAUAGACAUAGGCUGCAGAUACUCAUUCCAUUUACAAGGUGCUGUGAUACACUUCUGGUGUAGAUUAAUGGAUAAGAUGUCAAAAAUAUAUCAAUAUUUUGAUAACAAGAAGUACGCAUUUCAAUUGGUAAACUUGGCCAGCUCAACAAAAACUGAGUUGACAAGGCCAAUCUUUGCCAGUAUAGUUAAUAAAUAGGAGUCAUAAGUAAAAACUUUAUGUAUUUAUUUUAACAUCAUUAUGCUGACCCAGACAUAUGAAUAAAGUAGUGUUAAAUUCUCUGGUAAGUAAACAAAGGCUCUCCCUGCAGGGAGAAACUGUAAAAGUAUUAGCUGCAGCCAAUUUUUUCAGCUUUCAUUUGAGCUUCUUUGAGCCAGAUCACCUAAGUCCCGACACCUGUUCAUGCUGCUAAAUUUCUAAGCCUACCCAUAGCCUAUAGCCAAGAGCCCAUUUUCUCAAAGUGCUCCAGAUUUUGUGGUUAAAAGAGUCAUGUGGAAGCCCCGAUACAGUGAGUGUGCUCAUUGUUUUUUCAUCCUCCCCCGACACACGUCUGGGAACGAUAUUUACUAGGCUGGGCACUUUAGUAUUUAAGAAUGUCUCCCCAGCUCUGAUGGCCUCCACCCCUUUCCUUGGCGAUGUAUUAAAUACUUACAACCACAUCAGCCCCCUUACUUUAAUAUAACUCUAAUGCUGGUUGCAGAUUGUGUGAAACCUUUGUCUCUCAGGAGACUAGGAAUAGAUCAGGAAACUCGGCACAACUCUGAAUUAAAUAACCUUUCAGCUGUGGGAGGCUUGAAUCACCCCACCAACCUAAUACACUAUUCUUAACUGUUUCUUUGUCUAUAUUUUUGUUAAAUAGGAAAAGAUAAGACUGCCUCCUCUUCUCUCUUUUCUGGUCAAUUUAGUAGAAGGGAAAAGAAAAGUGGACUGAAUUUUCAUCCAUUCUGCAUGAGACUUUCAUGAUUACAUCAACAUUUGAGGUCUAAAAAUUUUUCUCAGAAAGUUACUAAAUGGACCUACAUAACCAGCUGCCUGAAAAUACCAGAGCUAGCAAUGUAAUCUCUGAGAGGAAAAAAGAGUGCUAACAAGAAGAACUGGUGUGAUGACUCUUGAGUAGAAAAAAACUAUCAAUAAUGAGGAUUACACUUUAAAACAGAAAAAUUUAAUUGCUACUUCUAAAAUAAGAAAAUAUUUACAUUAUUAUUUUAAUUUUAAUAACAAAAAUAUUCUAUAGACGUUUUGUGGCAGUCAAACACAUACAGCUACCAAUUUUUGACAUAGUGGCAUGAUGAAACUAUAUGACCUAUGUCACCCCAUGACUCACCAAGAGUUAGUUACUCAUUUAGCUACUCACCAGCAGCUGCAUGCAAAUUAAUUACACCACUAUGAAGAUACUUUCUGUUUUUUUUUUAUCCCUUGCAUGGUAUCUAUUUUUUGUGAGCGUAUGUUUGUGUCCUCCACAAAAUAUGUCGUUGUUUAAUUUUGGGGGAUAAAAGCUGGAAUUCUGGAAUAGGAAUAGUUAGAAGUGAGUCUAGCUUUUUUUUUUUUUUAAUAAAUAAUCAUUGAGCUCUUGCUAUAUGCUGGGCACAGUUAUAUAUAAGGUCCGAGGAAAAAAAUAUGAAGGAGGGUCCAUGCACUGUUGAAAUCACGUUCUAUUGUGGUAAGACACAAAAAAAAAUUAAGAAAAAUUAAAAGAAAUGCAUAAAAAUAAAAGAAAUUGUGGCAUAGAUAAUAAGUUGGGUGAUGUAUAAAGAAAAUAACCUUGUUGAUAAAGGUGAAGUGGUUCGUCAAGGAAGAUUUCUCUGAGAAGAGAGUUUGGCUGAGCCCUACAGGUAGAGAGGGAGACAGCCAUCAAAGAACUGGGGAAACCCAGUCAGAAAGGAGGAACCAGCAAAUCCCCAGGGCACUGGGGGUGAGUAUAUCCCAGCAACAGAAAGCACAUUGUAGCUGAAACACUGAGUGGUAUGAGAUGAUGUCAAAUGGUAAGCAAGGGCCAGGCCAUGGUGCUUAUAGGCGAUGUACAAGAGUUUGAAUUUUGUUCUUGGUAUAUUGGGAAGCCCUUGGAGGACACUAAUGGCAUGCUCCAAUUUACACAUUUAAAAAUUAUUCUAACAGAUGUGCAUGGAAAAGUUUAAAAAGAAAGGAAGAGAAGAGGUGGAGACUAUUACAGUCAUCUGGGCUGCGGAUGGCAGUCACUAGGGAAAUGGGUUAGAAAUGGAAGGCAGUGGAUGGGCUUGUUAUAUAUGUUAGAGUUCUAACUUAGAAUACUUGCUGCUGAUAGAAUGGACCAGGGACUUUGUGAUGAAAAUUUGGGAAAAUAAUAAAAAAUAUAUCUAAAGUAUUUGUGUUGAGCAUGAGGAAGACUAGAGAAUAUAAUAUGGCUUUCCAUAUUCCCUUUGCUAUUACUCUGGGUCUAGGUCCCCUGUGAUACGCUGUGUCGCCUUCCAGUCCAGGUCAAGUUAGGUAUGAUCCAUCAAGAUGCCCAUUGCUUUAAUCUCAUUUCUUUGUUAGAGCUGAAAUGUGAAUCUCAAUGGCCUUUCUGUUUUUGUCUCCAAUUGCAGUUUUCAAAAUACUUGCUCUAGCUCUUUCCUAUUUGCAGUGAUGGCACUUACUUGAGCUUCAGGAGUUGUGGCUCUCCUCCCAUUCAGAUGCACUAGGAUAAAUGCCUAGUACAAGGUGUCUUUUUUCCUGCCCUGCUGUGGUUGGGAACUUUCUAAAAGUCUUUGAUUUAGGUGGGACAAAACCAUCUUCAGGUGUAUUUCUACAUAAAAGUUUCUAAAAACCAAUUAUUUUUCAGCUUCCAUGUUCUAAAAUUGUAUAUAUCUUCUGCCCCUGACUUGCACCCAGCGUUACUCACUUAGUGCUCAGCUAGCACUUUGUCCCUUAACAAAUGUUUUCUGUAUUGAAUUAAACUAAUUUAAUUUUAUUUUCCUCCAUUCAUUCCUCAGUGUGUCAGUUCUUACCUUAAUAUGCUGACUUUAACAAGAACAUAACUGUUUAAGGGAACAUAUGUACCCAUGGAUAUUCCACAGUUAAAUGAUAGAGUUAGUAGCUAGGAGUCAUAGCACUUUCAAAAUCAUCAUUACCUGUCACUUUUUGUAUUAGAAGCCACCCAAUUAUAAAAUCUGAAAAUUUACUGUCUUACGUUAAAUCCAUGGUUUUAUUUUGAAACUCAUUUUAUCAGUGGACUCCUUCUUCAGAUAGAAUUCUAUAUGGGGUUCCAAUCCCUGACACAUGAAACUCAUGAUGAAGCUGCUCUGCUGGGGGACUAGGGGAGCUACCCUUUCAACCCCUUCUGUGCAUCCUAUAAUUUUGCUUGAGCUAUUUAUCCAUGUGAGAUUUUGUACACUGAAAAAUAUACUUGAAAACCUCAAUGUUAAAAAAUUAUUCCAUUUCUGUUUCUAUAAAACAUCAAGUUUGGGAACUUUUCUAUUCAUUCUAUUUUUUAUGACUAUAAUUCACUAAUUCUGAUAAUGAGUCAUACACACACACACACACACACACACACACACACACACACACACACCUCAUUCCUAGGAUCAUGGCAAUGCAUCUAAGCUACCAGGAAGAGUGUUCCUUUCUCUGCCUCUUGUUAAACACUGAAGAUUUUGCCUUCUACAGACGUGGAGUUUUGUUUAGUAAAUAGUGAGUCCAGCUUUCCAGACCUUUGUCAUUGCGCUCCUGAUUCACACAGUUUAUGACCUCCACUGGGAGUUGUUUUGCCUACAAAGUCCCAGAGUGCCAUGCCACAUUGCCACUUUCCAUUUGGAAUUCUAGUUGCAUUUCUUCUACAUCAGCCUUGUGCGGUAAAAGUGGGCAUGAAAUCUUUAGCACAGAUUCAAAAAUGAAGAAUUUAGACCACAUUUUGGGGACCAAGUUAACUACCCAAGUUAUCUACUCAUAAAAAUGUGGUUUGGUGAGGCAGACUGUCAGGGAUCCUGGUUAGCGAGGCUGUGCUCCUUAAGGAUAAUAACCCAGUCCUAGGAUCACACCCUCAAGGAAAGAGAGUAGCUGGGUUAAUGACAAUACCAUUAUUGGAUUUUGUUAAAGGGCCCAAAAUUACAGCUAGAUAGGGGUACACCUUCUAGUGUUCUAUACUACUGCAGAAUGACUAUAGCUAACAAUGAUGUAUUAUACCGUUUCAAAUAGCUAGAAGGAAGAUAUCGAAUGUUCCCAACAUGAAGAAAUGAUAAAUGUUGAGAUGAUAGAUUUGCUAAUUGUCCUGAUCUGAUUACUAUACAUUAUAUUUAUCAAAACAUUACUAUGUACCCCAUAAAUAUGUACAGUUAUGUGUGGUUAAAAAUAAAAUUUUUAAGUAUACAAAAUAACUUAAAAAUGAAUCUAGAAAUACUAAAUAAAGACUGAAUUAAGAGAGAUUAAUUUGAUUUCAACAAGAGGUUCAUAAAUCUGCUACACACAUCUCCACCUGACAAACAUCCAACUUUUGUUUUUGAGGGGGUAGAAGGAAAAGACCAUAGUAAUAGUAACAUAUUAUAGUAAUAUAUUAAUUAGUUACUAGUAAAAAAUUAAUGAACAUUUACAUUCACUUUACAUUAUAUCUAAUAAUGAAGCUACUAAAACCUGUAUCAAGCAGAACCUACUUAUUACAUGAAGAUAACAUAAAAAUUGAUUUUUUUAAGAAAAAUAACCAAAGAAAUAUUUGUGCUGCUUCUUAAUAUUUUUCCUAACUUUUCUUCCAAUGUCAUUAUCUGGGUAAUAGUCAGAGGUGUAAAGGUCAGAAGCGGAGUCAUCACUGUCCUUGCCUCUUUUCUCAUGGCAGGUAUGUGGUACUUCUUUGGUUGUCUAAAUUCCAUGGUCUUCUAACAGCUAGUGCAGUGCAGGAGCAAUGGCAGGAAGAAGGCAUGGGAUGGCCAGUGCCACCAGUAUUCCUUUUCAGUAGAAUGACUGGCUUUCAUUUCUUGGCAGCAAUUAUAGAUAUAAGACUGUUUCCUGGGAAAUGCCCUGUUUGGUAUAUGCAGCAGAACUUGUAGGUAUGUCGGCUGUUAUCCUGUAUUCUUAUAUAUACUGACUCAUUAUGUGUUCUUAGGGUGUGAGAAAACAGAGAGCUAAAUGAAUUUGGCUUCUUAUGGAAUCAAAGGCAAAGCAAAUGAAAGUUGACAUACAUUGUGGUAAGAAGUAAAUGUUUGACUGUUCCAUAGAUAGAACCAUUCACUACAAGGCAAAAAGGGAGAUGCUUUUUUUAUUGCUUUUACCAUUGCACAUGCUAGUGUCUUUUCUGGAAAAAAAUGGGAAAAGGAAACUAUAUAAACCAAAAUAGACUCAUAAAACAGAGAAGGUUGGGAUGUGCGUGUGUGUGUGUGUGUGUGUGUGUGUGUGUGUAACUAAAUAUAAAAGUGGGUUUUUUGCUGCUUCUGCAUCUUAUAUUUUUUUAAAAAAAUUUAAAUACCAUAAGGACAAAAGCUUCACAAUAAAAUUGGUAUGAACAACAUUCUCAGCAAUUUCUGCAACAUGAACUCUGUAUUCUUCCACAGCAAGCUGUGAAAACUCUAGGAAGAUAUUGUGAGUUGAUGUCAUAGAGAUUGGAGGAAGAAAAUAUAUGUUUCCAAAGGAAACUUCACUGCACUAUAUUCUAAAAGUUUCUUUGUCACCAACAUUCUCAUGACAAUUUCCCAGAAAAAUAAUAUCUGAACCUUAAAAUAUCUACCCAAAUAAAAAAUGUAGUAAACAUAUUUGGUGACGUCUAUACAAGUUUUCCUAAUGAGAUUGGCAGGUCAUUCAUAAAUAUGAAGUAAGGGGCAUAAUAAACAAGCAAAAAAUAAAAUUCAUAAAUUACUGGCAAAAAAAUUACAGCUAUACCAUGACAAAAUUCAUGUAUAUGAAUUCUCCUAAUGCUAACUGACUGAGUUUUGCUUACAAGUAACAUUUAAUCAGUAGAAUUAGAGAUGGAAGGACAAGCAGCUAUUUCUUAUGCAGGAAAAAAUAUAUGUGUGCAGUGUAUAAAUCAGGGCUUAAAUUGGACCUGCAGUCUUGACUAAAUUUUGGUCAUGAUAACGAUAGUACUUUG